AGAGGAAGGAUCCAAAGGGAUCGCAUUGAUCCUAAUUAAGGUGAAUUUUCCCGAUUAUUUUCUUGGUUAUUGUCAAAAGAAAUACCAACAAAAUUAUUGGUUAAUUUUGGAUCAUGCUAUCCCUUUGAAUUCAUCCUU
rfam:Brassica napus, WGS project CCCW01000000 data, contig: 38359